CGAACCGUGCGAACGUUAUUCGGAAUCACUGGGCUUAAAGCGCGUGUAGGCGGGCCGCCGCGUCGGCUGCUGAAAUCCCCCGGCUCAACCGGGGAACGGGCACCGAUACGGGCGGCCUCGAGGGGGGUAGGGGGGUCUGGAACUUCCGGUGGAGCGGUGAAAUGCGUUGAGAUCGGAAGGAACGCCCGUGGCGAAAGCGAGGCCCUGGACCCUUUCUGACGCUGAGACGCGAAAGCCAGGGGAGCGAACGGG
rnacentral:rRNA from 1 species